rnacentral:rRNA from 1 species
GUGGGUGAACCUGCGGAGGGAUCAUUACCGAGUUUACAACUCCCAAACCCCUGUGAACAUACCAAUUGUUGCCUCGGCGGAUCAGCCCGCUCCCGGUAAAACGGGACGGCCCGCCAGAGGACCCCUAAACUCUGUUUCUAUAUGUAACUUCUGAGUAAAACCAUAAAUAAAUCAAAACUUUCAACAACGGAUCUCUUGGUUCUGGCAUCGAUGAAGAACGCAGCAAAAUGCGAUAAGUAAUGUGAAUUGCAGAAUUCAGUGAAUCAUCGAAUCUUUGAACGCACAUUGCGCCCGCCAGUAUUCUGGCGGGCAUGCCUGUUCGAGCGUCAUUUCAACCCUCAAGCCCAGCUUGGUGUUGGGACUCGCGAGUUAAACCGCGUUCCCCAAAUUGAUUGGCGGUCACGUCGAGCUUCCAUAGCGUAGUAGUAAAACCCUCGUUACUGGUAAUCGUCGCGGCCACGCCGUUAAACCCCAACUUCUGAAUGUUGACCUCG